rfam:Triticum aestivum genome assembly, contig: Triticum_aestivum_CS42_TGACv1_scaffold_470993_6AL
AAUAUACUCCCUCUAUCCAGAAAUACUUGUCGAAUAAAUGGAUUAAAAACGGAUGUAUCUUGAACUAAAAUAUGUCUAGAUACAUCCAUUUCUCCGACAAGUAUUUUUGAACGGAGGGAGUAUAAU